CAGUAGCCGCGGGAAUACGGAGGGUGCAAGCGUUAAUCGGAAUUACUGGGCGUAAAGCGCACGCAGGCGGUCUGUCAAGUCGGAUGUGAAAUCCCCGGGCUCAACCUGGGAACUGCAUCCGAAACUGGCAGGCUAGAGUCUUGUAGAGGGGGGUAGAAUUCCAGGUGUAGCGGUGAAAUGCGUAGAGAUCUGGAGGAAUACCGGUGGCGAAGGCGGCCCCCUGGACAAAGACUGACGCUCAGGUGCGAAAGCGUGGGGAGCAAACAGGAUUAGAUACCCGCGUAGUCCCUGUCUCUUAUAC
rnacentral:rRNA from 1 species